UACGGGAGGCAGCAGUGGGGAAUAUUGCACAAUGGGCGCAAGCCUGAUGCAGCCAUGCCGCGUGUAUGAAGAAGGCCUUCGGGUUGUAAAGUACUUUCAGUCAUGAGGAAGGUGUUAAGGUUAAUAACCUUAGCAAUUGACGUUAGCGACAGAAGAAGCACCGGCUAACUCCGUGCCAGCAGCCGCGGUAAUACGGAGGGUGCGAGCGUUAAUCGGAAUUACUGGGCGUAAAGGGCACGCAGGCGGUUAAUUAAGUUGGAUGUGAAAUCCCCGGGCUUAACCUGGGAAUGGCAUUCAAGACUGGUUAGCUAGAGUCUUGUAGAGGGGGUAGAAUUCCAUGUGUAGCGGUGAAAUGCGUAGAGAUGUGGAGGAAUACCGGUGGCGAAGGCGGCCCCUGGGACAAAGACUGACGCUCAUGUGCGAAAGCGUGGGGAGCAAACAGGAUUAGGAUACC
rnacentral:rRNA from 1 species